GCAAGUCGAACGUGAAAGCGGACUUCGGUCCGUAAGUAAAGUGGCGCACGGGUGAGUAACACGUGGAUAAUCUACCCGACAAUCAGGGAUAACAUUUCGAAAGAGAUGCUAAUACCGGAUAAGCCCACGAUGUCUUCGGACGAUGUGGGAAAAGGUGGGGACCUUCGGGCCUGCCGUUGUCGGAUGAGUCCGCGGCCCAUUAGCUAGUUGGUAGGGUAAUGGCCUACCAAGGCAACGAUGGUUAGCGGGUCUGAGAGGAUGAUC
rnacentral:rRNA from 1 species